GGUUAACCUAUUUAACAACU
rnacentral:snRNA from 1 species